rnacentral:rRNA from 1 species
AGAAUCAACGCUGGCGGCGUGCCUAACACAUGCAAGUCGCACGAGAAAGGGUAGCAAUACCUGAGUAAAGUGGCGCACGGGUGAGUAACACGUGAAUUAUCUACCUCCGAGUGGGGAAUAACUGAGAGAAAUCUUAGCUAAUACCGCAUAACACUUACGAGUCAAAGCAGCAAUGCGCUUGGAGAGGAGUUCGCGGCCGAUUAGUUAGUUGGCGGGGUAAUGGCCCACCAAGACGAUGAUCGGUA